GGGUUGUGAGGUUAAGCGACUAAGCGUACACGGUGGAUGCCCUGGCAGUCAGAGGCGAUGAAGGGCGUGCUAAUCUGCGAUAAGCGCCGGUAAGGUGAUAUGAACCGUUAUAACCGGCGAUACCCGAAUGGGGAAACCCAGUGUGAUUCGUCACACUAUCAUUAACUGAAUUCAUAGGUUAAUGAGGCGAACCGGGGGAACUGAAACAUCUAAGUACCCCGAGGAAAAGAAAUCAACCGAGA
rnacentral:rRNA from 1 species